rnacentral:ncRNA from 2 species
CCAAUAGCGUAUAUUAAAGUUGUUGCAGUUAAAAAGCUCGUAGUUGAACUUCGGGGUUUACUCAUUGGUCAGGCUUAAUUGUCUGUACUGGUGAGAUGAAUCUCUACCUUCUGAGGAACUUUCAUGCCAUUUAUUUGGUGUGAUGGGAAAUCAGGACUGUUACUUUGAAAAAAUUAGAGUGUUUAAAGCAGGCUAACGUCUGAAUACAUUAGCAUGGAAUAAUGAAAUAGGACGGACUGAUUCUAUUUCGUUGGUUUCUAGGAUCACCGUAAUGAUUAAUAGGGAUAGUUGGGGGCAUUAGUAUUCAAUUGUCAGAGGUGAAAUUCUUGGAUUUAUUGAAGACUAACUACUGCGAAAGCAUUUGCCAAGGAUGUUUUCAUUAAUCAAGAACGAAAGUUAGGGGAUCGAAGACGAUCAGAUACCGUCGUAGUCUUAACCAUAAACUAUGCCGACUAGGGAUCGGACGAAGUUAAUUUUAUAAUGACGCGUUCGGCACCUUACG